rnacentral:tRNA from 1 species
GGGUGAUUAGCUCAGUUGGUAGAGCGCUUCGUUUACACCGAAGAUGUCGGCGGUUCGAGGCCGUCAUCACCCA